rnacentral:lncRNA from 1 species
CCAAACAUUUCUUGGCAUUGUCCUAAUGAUUCUAGACCUCUGAUGUAUGCCUCGGACUUAUCGUAAAAUGCUCUUAAACUCUCUAAACGCUCAUCAGGCACCGGCAUAUCCAAAAGUGAUCUCAUGUAUGCAUUGAUUAUCUUGUGGGUUUGACCAUAACGAUUCUUUAAAAGUUCAAUAUGUAUAAUUUGGGUUGGUCAUGGUGAGGCCUGAAACUACGUUUGCGGCAUCUGAUUGCAAUAAGGACUUCAAAUAUGAAAAUUUCUGAAUGUCGGAUAGUGUAUUGUUAUGAUGAAUUGUCGAUUCAAAUGAAUCCCAGAAAUAUUGCCAUUCUAAUAUAUCUCCGCUAAAAUUUGGUAGCGUUAACUUGGGUAGGCGAUGAUUUUGGCUUGAGGUUGAACUUGUUUGUGAUAGCUCCCGACUGGAAUGCGUAAAUGGGUUUGAAUGUGGUAUAAACUCUUGGGCAUUGCUAUCUAGAAUUGAAGAAGUGGCGGUGGCGACGGGUUUCAAGAACUUUUUGUAUUUUCUAAUUUUACUUUCUAACUCUAAAUAGUACUCAUCUGUUUCUAUAAUUUCAUCAGUAAUUCCCUCCGAGUCCACUGUAUUUAAAAUCUGUUCGUCGAUAUUGGCUAAAGUUUUCUUUUUCUUUUCAACUGCUUCCAAUAAUGUACAUAUUUCCUCCGGGUCUAAAGGAGUAUCAACGAUGG